rnacentral:rRNA from 1 species
AUGCCGCUGCUGCUGCGGCUGUUCAUAGACGGGAGGUACGUUGGCGUCGCUGACGAGGUGGUUGCGCUGCACGAGCAGUCGCGGCUCUGGUCGGUGCUCCGCCGAGCAGCCAGGCGCGUGCGAGGCGGCCUGCGAGGUGUGCGGCGACACCUGGUUCGUCGUGUGCGGAGGUGGACUGCACGGUGUGUGGCGACAAGGAUUCAGGGAGAUGCGGGUGAAAGGAAGAAGGAGAAGACCACGGGGAAUAUUUGGUAUUACGGUAUUUUUUUUGGGAUCCGUUCCAAUGUAGCCUGCACGGUACCACAAAACAGGUUUAAGGUUCCCCUUAUAAUGCUUUUACGGUACCGCGAUAUAAGGGAUCUACUAGAGAUGCUCUUAGUGAUGAGUACAGGUAUAACCCGUAUAACAUCUUCUCAUGAAAGUUAG